rnacentral:rRNA from 1 species
UACAGAGGCCUCGAGCGUUAGGCGGAAUCACUGGGCUUAAAGCGUGUGUAGGCGGACUUCUAAGUACCUUGUGAAAUCCCACGGCUUACCCGUGGAACGGCUGGGUAUACUGGUUGUCUUGAGCCACUUAGGGGCUACCGGAACAAAUGGUGGAGCGGUGAAAUGCGUAGAUAUCAGGAGGAACACCGGUGGCGAAGGCGGUGGUCUGGGCCGGUACUGACGCUGAGGAGCGAAAGCGUGGGGAGCGAACAGG